CCCAUCUUUCGAAGAAUUUGCUUGGGUAUAGCUGGCGGAACUGAAAGCUCCAUGCUUUGGCUGAACUCUUCUGCGAGCUUAACAAGUCUGGAUUUUUCUCGGCCAAUGGUCUUGUUAGAGUUGUAGUAUCCUAACCAUGCUUGAUAGGCACACUCCUUGCUCCUCAUCUCAACUUUCCGGACUGCGAUUAUGAACUUACUAUUGUCUGAGUGCUUGAAUCAACAGAAGGUACCGUAGCCUCUGAUAUUGACAAAUCCUUAAUGCUACUAAGAAAGUACUUCUCCCAUGGAGCCAACAGUAAUAGGCCUUGCCCUUCCUUUCCCUUCCGUCCAGUUCUACCAAGUCUAUGUAUAUAUUGCUGUCUAUCAGCUGGCACCCCAACCUGCAACAAGGGUGACAUCAGGAUAAUCCACGCCGCGGGCAGAUACAUCAGAACUAACCAAUAUCAGACCCCUUGACUUCCUGAAUUCAUCUGAGACCUUAGUUCUGGCAGAUUGUGACUUUCUGGAAUGAAUCUCUCUUAUAUUCAGUCUCAGUUGGGAAAG
rnacentral:sRNA from 1 species